rnacentral:rRNA from 1 species
GAUGAACGCUGGCGGCGUGCCUAAUACAUGCAAGUCGAGCGAACGGACGAGAAGCUUGCUUCUCUGAUGUUAGCGGCGGACGGGUGAGUAACACGUGGAUAACCUACCUAUAAGACUGGGAUAACUUCGGGAAACCGGAGCUAAUACCGGAUAAUAUUUUGAACCGCAUGGUUCAAAAGUGAAAGACGGUCUUGCUGUCACUUAUAGAUGGAUCCGCGCUGCAUUAGCUAGUUGGUAAGGUAACGGCUUACCAAGGCAACGAUGCAUAGCCGACCUGAGAGGGUGAUCAGCCACACUGGACCUGAGACACGGUCCAGACUCCUACGGGAGUCAGCAGUAGGGAAUCUUCCGCAAUGGGCGAACGCCUGACGGAGCGACGCCACGUGAGUGAUGAAGGUCUUCGGAUCGUAAAACUCUGUUAUUAGGGAAGAACAUAUUUGUAAGUAACUGUGCACAUCUUGACGGUACCUAAUCAGAAAGCCACGGCUAACUACGUG